rnacentral:rRNA from 1 species
UAGAGUUUGAUCAUGGCUCAGAUUGAACGCUGGCGGCAGGCUUAACACAUGCAAGUCGAGCGGAGAUGAGGUGCUUGCACCUUAUCUUAGCGGCGGACGGGUGAGUAAUGCUUAGGAAUCUGCCUAUUAGUGGGGGACAACAUUCCGAAAGGAAUGCUAAUACCGCAUACGUCCUACGGGAGAAAGCAGGGGAUCUUCGGACCUUGCGCUAAUAGAUGAGCCUAAGUCGGAUUAGCUAGUUGGUGGGGUAAAGGCCUACCAAGGGCGACGAUCUGUAGCGGGUCUGAGAAGAAUGAUUCCGCCACACUGGGACUGAGACACGGCCCAGACUCCUACGGGAGGCAGCAGUGGGGAAUAUUGGACAAUGGGGGAAACCCUGAUCCAGCCAUGCCGCGUGUGUGAAGAAGGCCUUAUGGUUGUAAAGCACUUUUAGCGAGGAGGAGGCUACUGAGACUAAUACUCUUGGAUAGUGGACGUUACUCGCAGAAUAGCACCGGCUAACUCUGUGCCAGCAGCCGCGGUAAUACACAGGGUGCGAGCGUUAAUCGGAUUUACUGGGCGUAAAGCG